rfam:Hordeum vulgare subsp. vulgare, WGS project CAJW01000000 data, contig: morex_contig_1614902
GUAUUACUCCCUCCGUUCCAAAAUUCUUGUCUUAAAUUUAUCUAGAUACGAAUGUAUCUAGUCAUAUUUUAGCAUUUAUAUAAAUUUAUUUGUAGACAAACCUAAGACAAGAAUUUUGGGACGGAGGAAGUAUUUA